UUUGACGUAAUGCGUGCUACGUUUAUCGAGACGUCAUAUUUAUCUAACAAUUAUUUCCAAUUGUUCUUUUUUUCCAUUAUUGGACUGGAGUGCAAUAAUAGAAUCUCUCCAGAAAUUCCGACUUAUCUACAUUGUACUUCGACGCUACUUUGAAUAGGAAUAUCUCGAGAAUAUAAGUAUUACUUCUUUUCUUGGUCUGUGAUUAAAAUUGAAUUUCAGCAAACGAAAGACAAAACGAAAAAUCAACAGUCAUUGGGCAAAUUGGAAGCAAUAAUCCGUCAAGUGAUUAAUUUUAGAAUUUUAUUGUUGCAAAAUGUAUUAGCAGAUGUUGAUUUAAAUCGAAAAUCGGGACGUUGAAGGAUUCGAAAUGAAUUUAGGUGUGUGAUUAAUUUAUUUAAAAUAUCUCAAUAUUAAUCACAUGUUUUAAGUUUUAGAAAGUGAGGGACGAAAUUAAAAUCAGUCGAUUGGCGAGGGUUGCAAUCGAAAAUCAACGGACGAUAGAAAAUGCAAAAUUUGCUUAAGUAAAUUCAAACGAUUUUAAAUUGAGAAUUUUCAUUAGCAGAAAUGCAUUCAGAGAUCCAGUUAUUUCUUUUAACAUAUCGUAUGAAAAAUAGAGUUUUAUAUACGUAGAAGUUACAUUCCGGUAUCCAUAUUUGACAAGAAUAUCAUCUGGUUUGUACUGCUUCAAGAUGGAAUUUCUUUUGACAUUUCUUUGUCGCAAUACAAGAAGGAAGAAUCGAGAUAAGUAAUUUCUAAUAUCUUCAGUAUGAUAAUUCUUUUGCAAAAUUUAACAUAUACUAUAUAUAUAUAUAUAUAAGCUUAGAUUGUAUACUAUUUAACAUUAUAAUAUGACAAAUCAGUAUACUUCUUACAUUCUUUUUUUAAUAAUAUCUCUCAAGUUAUUUUUUUCGGAAAGAACAUUUACAGAAUGGAUUUAUUCUCAUACUAUAACAAAAAACUUAUGAAAUAAACAGUUAAUAUAAUCAACGCAAUUUUCGAAAACGGAGAAAACUGAAAUACGUCGAUAAUGCUAACAUAUAAGCUGCUCGUUUUACAUAUAUGUUAUGUUGUAUUUAAAAUACUCGGAUCAGUAUCAACCUUAAAAGAUAAAUUUAUUAAACGAGACAACGAUUCUAUUACGAAUUUGCAAAUAUUUUUUAAUAAUUUUUUGCUGUUAUUCCAUCAUAACUUAUAACAAAAGCAAUUGGAAAUUCAUUACGUUGGCAUAAUAAUAGAAAAAUAUUCAUGCAUAACGUCAAGCUUACUAAAUUUUACAUAAAAAUUCUAUUUGAAUCUAUUUUUGUACCAUGUGUCUCCAAUUCCGGGUUUUAUAAUUCUGCCUAUUUGUUCUUCUGAAUGUAGUGAUUUCUAAAUAAAUCAACGAUGAUUAAGAUUUCUGGGAUUUUCGGUAUUACAAACUUAAUUUAAAAAUCCUGAUGAAAGUGAUAUUCUGAACUAAAAGGUUGAUGAGAAGAAGGAAUUUCGGUGAAAUCCAGUGAUCACAGGUUCUGUCAUAGAAUUCUGAAAAUUAGUAGAACUGAUAAAAUUACUAAUGAAAAAGUAUGGAGAAGAUCUCACGCCAUUCCAUGUCUUCUCAGGACUGACAAAGAGCAUAAAAUAGAAUUUGCAGGAUAUGUUCUAACAGGCUCUUCUUGCAAAAACACUCUUAAUACUGGAGAACUUUACUAAAAGAGAUCUUAAAUGCGAUAGGACAAGGAGAAACUUGGUUUCAGGAUUUCAGAGAUUAGACUAGCAUUCCUAGCUACCAAGUAUCCAAAAGAAAAGCAAGUGAUAGAAAAAGUUAACAAUUUAUGGUGGCAAACCUUCGUAACGGCACAUCAUGACUAGGAAAUGAAUCAGCAACUUGGUGAUAUCAUAUAUUAUAAUAAUUAUGUAGUAGUCUAUAUAUUUUAUAAUUAUAUAUUUUAGUAUACAAUAUCUAUUUUUAAAAUGCGCAAAUAUGUUAUGAAUUGUUUACAUUU